AAGACGACGCUGUUUUAUUGUGAAAAUCCCAAAGGGAAGUUGCGGCUGUGGACACGGUCAGGCAGCGGUGAGGUGGAAGUGCAGAAAUGGCAGAUUUGUCGCUGUUUUUAACCAGUGUCAGUGUUUCAGUGACACAAACUAUGGACAAUGAGAAGGUUUCAGCCGGGACGACGGACUGUGAGACUGUAGAAAUGGGCGACACCUCCGGGAGUCGAACGACGGUGAAGGUCCCCAGAAGAACCAUUUACUUCGCCAGUGGAGAGACCAUGGAGGAGUACAGCACUGAUGAAGAGGAGGAGGAGGAGGCGGAGGAGGAUCUGGUUAAAAAGGAUGUCGCCACCGUCGAUCCGGCCAGGCUGACGUGGGGGCCGUACUUCUGGUUCCAAAUGUGGAGAAUGGCCACUUCCACCAUCUCAGUUUGUGACUACAUGGGUGAGAAACUGGCCUCGCUCUUUGGAAUUACUACUCCAAAGUACCAGUAUGCUAUUGACGAGUACUACAGGAUGAAAAAGGAGGAGAUUGAAGAAGAGGAGGAAAACCGUCUUUCUGAAGAAGCAGGACGUCACUUUGCAGAGCGGAAAGGUCACAAACAGGAUGUAGUUUAUUCUGCUACCGUGGAGCAGCCGGAACCUUCUGGAACAUCUUUCGUCAACAUCAGCUUUGAGCUGGAACCAGAGUCUCCUCUGACGGCUGCCGACGCCGACAGAGCCCCGUCAGCUCUGCCCUCCUAAGAACCGGGCCUCCAUCGACCUCACCUCUUUACACCUCGAUCUACUGACAGAACACUAGUGACCUGGAACUAAUGACCUGGAACUAAUGAACUGGAACUAAUGACCUGGAACUAAUGAACUGGAACUAAUGACCUCAAGUCAACAUAUGAUUUUAUCACCAUCUUUUUUUAAUCCAAUUGAUCUCCUCUCAGAACUGGGUCAAAUCCCAUCACCAACUGACAUGGUCUGUGAACCUCACCAACUGAC